UUUGCGCCAGCGAUAGUAGCGUAAAGCCCGCAGGAGUUUUAUAAAAACGACGAGGACUUGCAGUGGAUAGCGCGGUGCCCG
rnacentral:sRNA from 1 species